rnacentral:rRNA from 1 species
UACGGAGGGUGCAAGCGUUAAUCGGAAUUACUGGGCGUAAAGCGCGCGUAGGUGGUUGUUAAGAGAGAUGUGAAAGCCCCGGGCUUAACCUGGGAACGGCAUUUCGAACUGUCAGGCUAGAGUAUGGUAGAGGAGUGUGGAAUUUCCUGUGUAGCGGUGAAAUGCGUAGAUAUAGGAAGGAACACCAGUGGCGAAGGCGGCACUCUGGACCAUAUGACACUGAGGUGCGAAAGCGUGGGAGCAAA